CGCGUAGGCGGCUCGGUAAGUUUGGAGUGAAAGUCCUGGCUUUAAGUUGGGAAUUGCUUUGAAAACUGUCGGGCUUGAGUGCAGGAGAGGUUAGUGGAAUUCCCAGUGUAGCGGUGAAAUGUGUAGAGAUUGGGAGGAACACCAGUGGCGAAGGCGACUAACUGGACUGUAACUGACGCUGAGGCGCGAAAGUGUGGGGAGCAAACA
rnacentral:rRNA from 1 species